GCCAGUUGGUGUAGUGGUUUGAGCAUUGUACUACAACUCUGAAAAUCAGGGUUCGAUUCCCUGCUCUGUCA